CCAGACUCCUACGGGAGGCAGCAGUGAGGAAUAUUGGUCAAUGGGCGGGAGCCUGAACCAGCCAAGCCGCGUGAAGGAAGAAGGCGCCAGGCGUCGUAAACUUCUUUUGUCGGGGAGCAAAGCGAGUCACGUGUGACUCAUUGAGAGUACCCGAAGAAAAAGCAUCGGCUAACUCCGUGCCAGCAGCCGCGGUAAUACGGAGGAUGCGAGCGUUAUCCGGAUUUAUUGGGUUUAAAGGGUGCGCAGGCGGAGGUGCAAGUCAGCGGUCAAAUUGCGGGGCUCAACCCCGUACUGCCGUUGAAACUGCAUCCCUUGAGUGCGCGAGAAGUAUGCGGAAUGCGUGGUGUAGCGGUGAAAUGCAUAGAUAUCACGCAGAACUCCGAUUGCGAAGGCAGCGUACCGGCGCCCAACUGACGCUGAAGCACGAAGGCGUGGGUAUCGAACAGGAUUAGAUACCCGAGUA
rnacentral:rRNA from 1 species